GAUUAACGCUGGCGGCGUGCAUAACACAUGCAAGUCGAACGAUGAAACUUAAAUGAUUUCUUCGGAAUGAACUUAAGUGGAUUAGUGGCGGACGGGUGAGUAACGCGUGAGUAACCUGCCUUACACAAGGGGAUAGCCGUUGGAAACGACGAAUAAUACCCUAUGAAACUAUCACUUCGCAUGAAGCGAUAGUCAAAGUGUUAGCGGUGUAAGAUGGACUUGCGUCUGAUUAGCUAGUUGGUGAGAAAAAAGCCCACCAAGGCAACGAUCAGUAGCCGGCUUGAGAGAGUGUACGGCCACAUUGGGACUGAGACACGGCCCAGACUCCUACGGGAGGCAGCAGUGGGGAAUUUUGCACAAUGGGGGAAACCCUGAUGCAGCGACGCCGCGUGAUUGAGAAGGCCUUCGGGUUGUAAAAAUCUUUUGUAUAGGAAGAAAAUGACAGUACUAGAAGAAUAAGGUCCGGCUAAUUACGUG
rnacentral:rRNA from 1 species